AACGAACGCUGGCGGCGUGCCUAACACAUGCAAGUCAAGGGGGGCUGGUCCUUCGGGAUCAGUCAACCGGCGCACGGGUGAGUAACACGUGGAUAAUCUGCCUUCAGGCGGGGGAUAGCCCCGGGAAACCGGGAUUAAUACCGCAUGGCAAUCGGGGGCGAAAGCUUUCCGGUUUAAAGAUGGGGAUCCUUCGGGACCUAUCGCCUGGAGAUGAGUCCGCGCCCCAUUAGCUAGUUGGUAGGGUAAAAGCCUACCAAGGCCGAGAUGGGUAGCCGACCUGAGAGGGUGAUCGGCUACACUGGAACUGAGACACGGUCCAGACUCCUACGGGAGGCAGCAGUGGGGGAUAUUGGACAAUGGGCGAAAGCCUGAUCCAGCCAUGCCGCGUGUGUGAAGAAGGUCUUCGGAUUGUAAAGCACUUUAAGUUGGGAGGAAGGGCAGUAAGCUAAUACCUUGCUGUUUUGACGUUACCGACAGAAUAAGCACCGGCUAACUCUGUGCCAGCCGCCGCCGUAAAAC
rnacentral:rRNA from 1 species